rnacentral:rRNA from 1 species
UGUUUUGGGUAGGGGAGCGUCGUAUAUGGGGUGAAGCACGAUCGUAAGGGCGUGUGGACUGUAUGCGAGUGAGAAUGCAGGCAUGAGUAACGAGAGAUACGUGAGAAUCGUAUCCGCCGAAUGAUCAAGGGUUCCUGGGUCAAGUUCGUCUUCCCAGGGUGAGUCGGGUCCUAAGGCGAGGCCGACAGGCGUAGUCGAUGGUCAACGGGUUGAUAUUCCCGUACCCGUGGUAUCGCG